rnacentral:rRNA from 1 species
CAGCAGCCGCGGGAAUACGAAGGGGGCUAGCGUUGCUCGGGAUGACUGGGCGUAAAGGGCGCGUAGGCGGCGAUCAAAGUCAGGCGUGAAAUUCCUGGGCUCAACCUGGGGGCUGCGCUUGAUACUGGGUUGCUUGAGUGAGGAAGAGGGCCGUGGAAUUCCCAGUGUAGAGGUGAAAUUCGUAGAUAUUGGGAAGAACACCGGUGGCGAAGGCGGCGACCUGGUUCAUAACUGACGCUGAGGCGCGAAAGCGUGGGGAGCAAACAGGAUUAGAUACCCCAGUAGUCCCUGUCUCUUAUAA